CGGAUGUAGUUCAAUUGGUAGAGCACCUGGUUGUGGUCCAGGCUGUCGAGGGUUCAAACCCCUUCAUUC
rnacentral:tRNA from 1 species